UCGAGAAUCUUCCGCAAUGGGCGAAAGCCUGACGGAGCGACACCGCGUGCAGGAUGAAGGCCUUCGGGUUGUAAACUGCUGUCACGCCAUAGGAAUUCCCUGUCGUUAAUAGCUGCAGGGUUGACCAAAGCGAGAGGAAGCACCGGCUAACUCCGUGCCAGCAGCCGCGGUAAGACGGAGGGUGCAAACGUUGUUCGGAAUCACUGGGCAUAAAGCGCACGUAGGCGGUUCGGUCAGUCUGGUGUGAAAGCCCCCGGCUCAACCGGGGAACUGCAUUGGAUACUGCCGGACUCGAGGACGGUUGGGGUGAGUGGAACUCCUGGUGGAGCGGUGAAAUGCGUAGAUAUCAGGAGGAACACCAGUGGCGAAAGCGACUCACUGGGCCGUUUCUGACGCUGAGGUGCGAAAGCUAGGGUAGCGAACGGGAUUAGAUACCCCCGUAGUCC
rnacentral:rRNA from 1 species